rnacentral:hammerhead_ribozyme from 1 species
AUCCACAUGACAAGUCCCGAAUAGGACGAAACGCGCAUCCUGGAU